rfam:Pteropus alecto contig54947, whole genome shotgun sequence.
GUCUACGGCCACGCCGCCCUGAACACGCCCGACCUUGUCUGAUCUUGGAAGCUAAGCAGGGUCGGACUUGGUUAGUACUUGGAUGAGAGACCACCUAGGAAGACCAGGUGCUAUAGGCA